CCUACGGGAGGCUGCAGUGAGGAAUAUUGGUCAAUGGGCGAGAGCCUGAACCAGCCAAGUCGCGUGAAGGAUGAAGGCCCUACGGGUUGUAAACCUCUUUUGUCAGGGAGCAAAGGAGGCCACGUGUGGGCUUAGCGAGAGAACCUGAAGAAAAAGCAGCGGCAAACUCCGUGCCAGCAGCCGCGGUAAUACGGAGGAUGCGAGCGUGAGCGGGAUUGAUGGGGUUGAAAGGGGGCGUAGGUGGAAUCUCAAGUCAGCGGUACAACUUCGGGGCUCAACCCCGUCGUGCCGUUGAAACUGUUGUUCUUGAGUGGGCGAGAAGUAUGCGGAAUGCGUGUUGUAGCGGU
rnacentral:rRNA from 1 species